rnacentral:rRNA from 1 species
UCUCACCAGGCCAGCACUCUUGUACGAUUGACAGAUUGAGAGCUCUUUCUCGAUUCAGUGGAUGGUGGUGCAUGGCCGUUCUUAGUUGGUGGAGUGAUCUGUCUGGUUAAUUCCGAUAACGAACGAGACUCUCCCCUGCUAACUAGUCGGUUGGAUCUUGUUCGGUGAGUCGUGUGCCGGGAAAACCCGUGGGGUGGCGGCAGAUGUCGUGGUGGUGGUUUUUCGUUGGAAGCACGCACUGGUGGGUCGUGGCUGAGGCGUGCAAACGUCUCUUUCAUGUGCUCCCAGCGUCUAAUGUGUCUCUCUGGCUUCGGCUGCUGCUGUCUUCUCUGUUUAGUCUAUCUCUCAUGGGCCUCGGGCCACACACUCCAAGUCCGCCGCUUAUGCUAUAACUCUUCUUAGAGGGAUUCACGGUACUGAAGCCGUCAGAGACUGAGAGCAAUAACAGGUCUGUGAUGCCCUUAGAUGCUCUGGGCCGCACGCGCGCUACAAUGCCGGGCACAGCAGGUAGUUCUCCUGCUCCGACAGGAGCGGGUAACCCUCUGAAAGCCCUUGGUUUUGUCGUGUCUCGCACACGCAUUCACCUCGUGAGUGUGUGUUUGUGGGAUACGAACGGCGUGAUGGGGCCUGGGACUUGCAAUUUUUUCCCACAAACGAGGAAUGCCUAGUAGCGGCGGGUCACUGAGCCCACCGUGACUCAGUCCCUGCCCUUUGUACACACCGCCCGUCGCUACUACCGAUUGGGUGUACCAGUGAGAGCCUUGGACUG